rnacentral:rRNA from 1 species
GGAGCAAUCCGGGAACCAGCAGAGGUGCUGCAUGGCUGUCGUCAGCUCGUGUCGUGAGAUGUUGGGUUAAAGUCCCGCAACGAGCGCAACCUUUGCCCUUAGUUGCCAGCGGGUAAUGCCGGGCACUCUAAGGGGACCGCCCCGGAUAACGGGGAGGAAGGCGGGGAUGACGUCAAGUCAGCAUGGCCCUUAUGUCCAGGGCUACACACGUGCUACAAUGGGCGGUACAGAGGGAGGCAAAGCCGCGAGGUAGAGCCAAUCCCUAAAGCCGUCCUCAGUUCGGAUCGCAGGCUGCAACUCGCCUGCGUGAAGUCGGAAUCGCUAGUAAUCGCGGAUCAGCAAUGCCACGGUGAAUACGUUCCCGGGUCUU